UGAAACUGCGAAUGGCUCAUUAAAUCAGAAAUAGUUUAUUUGAUAAUACCUUUACUACUCGGAUAACUGUAGUAAUUCUAGAGCUAAUACGUGCUAAAAGUUCCAUCUCCUUUUUUGUUGGUGGAAUGUAUUUAUUAGAUAAAAAACCAAUGCACGAGGCAACUCGUGGUAAUUGUUGAAUCAUAAAAACUUUGCGAAUCGCAUAGCUUUAAGCUGGCGAUGAAUCAUUCAAAUUUCUGCCCUAUCAACUUUCGAUGGUAGUGUAGUGGACUACCAUGGUCGUAACGGGUGACGGAGAAUUAGGGUUCGGUUCCGGAGAGGGAGCCUGAGAGACGGCUACCACUUCCAAGGAAGGCAGCAGGCGCGCAAAUUACCCAAUGGCAAUACGCCGAGGUAGUGACAAUAAAUAACA
rnacentral:rRNA from 1 species